AUGGCGUCUGCCAUCGUCCUCACCCUCCUCCUGGCUGUUCUCCCAGGCGUCUGUUCCCAGGUGCAGCUGGUGCAGUCAGGGGGCAGAGGGGAGACGGCCCGGGGAGUCUCUGACGAUCUCCUGCAAGGCGUCUGGAUACAGCUUCACAAGCUACUGGAUGAGCUGGGUGUGCCAGAAGCCCGGGAAGGGCCUGGAGUGGGUGGGGAGCAUCUAUCCUGGUGAUUCUGAUACAAACUACAGCCCAGCCUUCCAAGGCCACGUCACCAUCUCCAUCGACAACUCCAUCAACACCGCUUUCCUGCGGUGGAGCAGCCUGAAGGCAGAGGACACCGCCAUGUAUUUCUGCGCUACGGACACAGCAAGGGAACUGCAGUGA